rnacentral:rRNA from 1 species
GGAUAACCCGGAGAAAUCCGGCCUAAUACCGCAUGUGGCCGAGGGGAGGCAUCUUCUUUCGGCCAAAGGAGGCGACUCCGGAGACGGAUGGGCAUGCGUGACAUUAGCUUGUUGGCGGGGUAACGGCCCACCAAGGCGACGAUGUCUAGGGGUUCUGAGAGGAAGGUCCCCCACACUGGUACUGAGACACGGACCAGACUCCUACGGGAGGCAGCAGUGAGGAAUAUUGGUCAAUGGGCGAGAGCCUGAACCAGCCAAGUCGCGUGAAGGAUGACGGCCCUACGGGUUGUAAACUUCUUUUGUCAGGGAGCAAUUGAGUCCACGUGUGGGCUUAGCGAGAGUACCUGAAGAAAAAGCAUCGGCUAACUCCGUGCCAGCAGCCGCGGUAAUACGGAGGAUGCGAGCGUUAUCCGGAUUUAUUGGGUUUAAAGGGUGCGUAGGCGGAAUAUCAAGUCAGCGGUAAAAAUUCGGGGCUCAACCCCGUCGUGCCGUUGAAACUGAUGUUCUUGAGUGGGCGAGAAGUAUGCGGAAUGCGUGGUGUAGCGGUGAAAUGCAUAGAUAUCACGCAGAACUCCGAUUGCGAAGGCAGCAUACCGGCGCCCAACUGACGCUGAAGCACGAAAGCGUGGGUAUCGAACAGGAUUAGAUACCCUGGUAGUCCACGCAGUAAACG